rnacentral:rRNA from 1 species
CCUACGGGGGGCUGCAGUAGGGAAUAUUGCUCAAUGGGGGAAACCCUGAAGCAGCAACGCCGCGUGGAGGAUGAAGGUUUUCGGAUUGUAAACUCCUUGUGGUAGAGAAGAGAAUGACGGUAUCUAACGAAUAAGCACCGGCUAACUCCGUGCCAGCAGCCGCGGUAAUACGGAGGGUGCAAGCGUUAAUCGGAAUUACUGGGCGUAAAGCGCUCGUCGGCGGUAUGUCAAGUCACGGGUGAAAUCCCCGCGCUCAACGUGGGAACUGCCUUUGAAACUGGCAAACUGGAGUGUGUGAGCGGAUAGUGGAAUUCCCGUUGUAGGCGUGAAAUCCGUAGAUAUCUGGAGGAACAUCAGUGGCGAAGGCGACUAUCUGGCACAUAACUGACGCUGAGGAGCGAAAGCGUGGGUAGCAAACAGGAUUAGAUACCCGAGUAGUC